rnacentral:piRNA from 1 species
UGGAUCCUUUCGAAAAUAAAG